GCUUUAUCUUAAUUGGAGCUCUCAGGCUCUUAUACGAUUUUGAUGGGAGAUCAGUAGAAAUAAGUCUUCUACUAUCAUAUUAAUCUUACUAGUAUUUCCUAACUUUAUAUGUGUGGCUAGCUACUCUAGGGAUAACAGCGCAAUUUCUCCCGAAAGAUGGUAUUGGAGGGGAAGAUUGCGACCUCGAUGUUGGCUUUAGAUAUCCUAGAGGCGUAGAAGCUUCU
rnacentral:rRNA from 1 species